rnacentral:misc_RNA from 1 species
AAGAAAAUACAUCAGUAAUAAGGAAAAAAUCACACUAGAACUUUGAUUGUAAAAAAUGAAGUACUUGCCGUAAAACUCAAGCAUGAAGCAUGUAAGGAAAAACCAGAGUGCGGUAAAAGGUGAAGUUUGAACCUUAAGAAAUAGCAGUAAGCAUUAACUUAGCCUCAGAAUGUAUAAUAUAUCAACUAAAUUUACCAAAUCAUAUCCUAACAUUUCCUCAGAAUGUAAAAUAGAAAGAGUUAGCAGCUACUUUUGCUAACUUCUGAAUAUUGGUAUGAUCAAGUAAAUGGGCCAUGUACUCGUAUAGUGAUGGCCUUUUG